rnacentral:rRNA from 1 species
GACGAACGCUGGCGGCGUGCUUAACACAUGCAAGUCGAACGGAAAGGCCCUGCUUUUGUGGGGUGCUCGAGUGGCGAACGAGUGAGUAACACGUGAGUAACCUGCCCUUGACUUUGGGAUAACUUCAGGAAACUGGGGCUAAUACCGGAUAGGAGCUCCUGCUGCAUGGUGGGGGUUGGAAAGUUUCGGCGGUUGGGGUUGGACUCGCGGCUUAUCAGCUUGUUGGCGGGGUAGUGGCUUACCAAGGCUUUGACGGGUAGCCGGCCUGAGAGGGUGACCGGCCACAUUGGGACUGUGAUACGGCCCCGACUCCUGCGGGAUGCAGCAGUGGGGAAUAUUGCACAAUGGGCGGAUUCCUGAUGCAGCAUCGCCGCGUGCGGGAUGACGGCCUUCGGGUUGUAAACCGCUUUCGUCUGUGACUAAGCGUGAGUGACGGUAAUGGGUAAAGAAGCACCGGCUAACUACGUG